rnacentral:rRNA from 1 species
UAGCGUAGGGGGCUAGCGUUGUCCGGAAUCAUUGGGCGUAAAGCGCGCGUAGGCGGCCCGGUAAGUCCGCUGUGAAAGUCAAAGGCUCAACCUUUGAAUGUCAGCGGAUACUGCCGGGCUAGAGUCCGGAAGAGGCGAGUGGAAUUCCUGGUGUAGCGGUGGAAUGCGCAGAUAUCAGGAGGAACACCAACGGCGAAGGCAGCUCGCUGGGACGGUACUGACGCUGAGGCGCGAAAGCGUGGGGAGCGAACAGG